rnacentral:rRNA from 1 species
AUUCAUCUCCGGGGGUAGAGCACUGUUUCGGCUAGGGGGCCAUCCCGGCUUACCAACCCGAUGCAAACUGCGAAUACCGGAGAAUGUUAUCACGGGAGACACACGGCGGGUGCUAAUGUCCGUCGUGAAGAGGGAAACAACCCAGACCGCCAGCUAAGGUCCCAAAGUCAUGGUUAAGUGGGAAACGAUGUGGGAAGGCCCAGACAGCCAGGAUGUUGGCUUAGAAGCAGCCAUCAUUUAAAGAAAGCGUAAUAGCUCACUGGUCGAGUCGGCCUGCGCGGAAGAUGUAACGGGGCUAAACCAUGCACCGAAGCUGCGGCAGCGACACCGUGUGUUGUUGGGUAGGGGAGCGUUCUGUAAGCCUGUGAAGGUGUGCUGUGAGGCAUGCUGGAGGUAUCAGAAGUGCGAAUGCUGACAUAAGUAACGAUAAAGCGGGUGAAAAGCCCGCUCGCCGGAAGACCAAGGGUUCCUGUCCAACGUUAAUCGGGGCAGGGUGAGUCGACCCCUAAGGCGAGGCCGAAAGGCGUAGUCGAUGGGAAACGGGUUAAUAUUCCCGUACUUGGUGUUACUGCGAAGGGGGGACGGAGAAGGCUAUGUUGGCCGGGCGACGGUUGUCCCGGUUUAAGCGUGUAGGUAUGUGUUCCAGGUAAAUCCGGUUCACUUUAACACUGAGGCGUGACGACGAGGCACUACGGUGCUGAAGCAACAAAUGCCCUGCUUCCAGGAAAAGCCUCUAAGCAUCAGGUAACAUCAAAUCGUACCCCAAACCGACACAGGUGGUCAGGUAGAGAAUACCAAGGCGCUUGAGAGAACUCGGGUGAAGGAACUAGGCAAAAUGGUGCCGUAACUUCGGGAGAAGGCACGCUGACACGUAGGUGAAGUGAUUUACUCACGGAGCUGAAGUCAGCCGAAGAUACCAGCUGGCUGCAACUGUUUAUUAAAAACACAGCACUGUGCAAACACGAAAGUGGACGUAUACGGUGUGACGCCUGCCCGGUGCCGGAAGGUUAAUUGAUGGGGUCAGCGCAAGCGAAGCUCCUGAUCGAAGCCCCGGUAAACGGCGGCCGUAACUAUAACGGUCCUAAGGUAGCGAAAUUCCUUGUCGGGUAAGUUCCGACCUGCACGAAUGGCGUAAUGAUGGCCAGGCUGUCUCCACCCGAGACUCAGUGAAAUUGAACUCGCUGUGAAGAUGCAGUGUACCCGCGGCAAGACGGAAAGACCCCGUGAACCUUUACUAUAGCUUGACACUGAACAUUGAGCCUUGAUGUGUAGGAUAGGUGGGAGGCUUUGAAGUGUGGACGCCAGUCUGCAUGGAGCCGACCUUGAAAUACCACCCUUUAAUGUUUGAUGUUCUAACGUGGACCCGUGAUCCGGGUUGCGGACAGUGUCUGGUGGGUAGUUUGACUGGGGCGGUCUCCUCCUAAAGAGUAACGGAGGAGCACGAAGGUUGGCUAAUCCUGGUCGGACAUCAGGAGGUUAGUGCAAUGGCAUAAGCCAGCUUGACUGCGAGCGUGACGGCGCGAGCAGGUGCGAAAGCAGGUCAUAGUGAUCCGGUGGUUCUGAAUGGAAGGGCCAUCGCUCAACGGAUAAAAGGUACUCCGGGGAUAACAGGCUGAUACCGCCCAAGAGUUCAUAUCGACGGCGGUGUUUGGCACCUCGAUGUCGGCUCAUCACAUCCUGGGGCUGAAGUAGGUCCCAAGGGUAUGGCUGUUCGCCAUUUAAAGUGGUACGCGAGCUGGGUUUAGAACGUCGUGAGACAGUUCGGUCCCUAUCUGCCGUGGGCGCUGGAGAACUGAGGGGGGCUGCUCCUAGUACGAGAGGACCGGAGUGGACGCAUCACUGGUGUUCGGGUUGUCAUGCCAAUGGCACUGCCCGGUAGCUAAAUGCGGAAGAGAUAAGUGCUGAAAGCAUCUAAGCACGAAACUUGCCCCGAGAUGAGUUCUCCCUGAGACUUUAGGUCUCCUGAAGGAACGUUGAAGACGACGACGUUGAUAGGCCGGGUGUGUAAGCGCAGCGAUGCGUUGAGCUAACCGGUACUAAUGAACCGUGAGGCUUAACCUUACAACGCCGAAG